AUUUGCUCUCGACACCACAAGGUUUACAAAUGGCCCUGAUCAGAGAGUUAUUGAAAAGCAUAGUGUGUAAAAGGGGAAAGGUCUGGCAACCCUACAUCAUGCCUGUAAUAUGUAUCAUUGAGAUCAGAUUACUGUAAACACACUCUCUGUAAUCAGACAGUCCAGCAUAUAAAUAAUAUGGGAUUAUAUGAUAUGCUGAUCCAGGUAAUAGCUGUUGGGAAUAUUCUAAUCAAGGCCACAUAUAGGCCUAUAAUAAUCCCACUCAUUGUCCAGAUGCUGAAGUGUGACAUUCCUGUGUAGUUCUGAUACUUCAUGUAUCUUGUCUUCCUGCUUUCUUCUCCCAUAAGAACCCGUUGUGCUUGUGUUAGUCUCGUCUGUUUUGUCUGUACAAACAGAACAGCAAAUAUCCAUAUUUUGCUUUGCAGAACAUCAGAAGCUGUGCCACCUUCCAGGACCUGAGGGAGCUUCUCAACGCACGCCGGUGCCAAGGCAAUAAUGGGAAUUAUAUUGUGGACCUCCAAGACAUCUUGAGAGGCAAGAAGCAAACCCAGAGCUGUAACAACAGAACCUCUGCCUAUGGCCGGAACAGAGGCAUGGAGAACAUAUCUUCACAGAACCUCGGAAGCUGUACCACCCCUCAGGCCCUGAAGGAGUACCCGAAUGCAGGGAGCAGACGCAGCUAUAAUGGCAACUACAUGGACUACAAAAGUUUCCAGGCCAGCACAUGACACUGCAGCGCAAUAACAGGGAGGUCUGCUACGCUAACUGCAGAAGCAUACAGACCAUACAAGAACAGAGGCCGUGGAAGAGCUCAUUGUCCAUUCUAGAACAUGGUUAAAAAAAAGCGAUCCAGCAUAAACUGAAACAUCUGCUGUAAUUGUACGCUGUAUGCAAAGCCUAUACCACCGGCUUUCAUCCUACGUUAUGUACAGUAUAAAGCUAUACCACCGGCUUUCAUCCUACGUUAUAUACAGUAUAAAGCCUAUACCACCGGCUUUCAUCCUACGUUAUAUACAGUAUAAAGCUAUACCACCGGCUUUCAUCCUACGUUAUAUACAGUAUAAAGCUAUACCACCGGCUUUCAUCCUACGUUAUAUACAGUAUAAAGCUAUACCACCGGCUUUCAUCCUACGUUAUAUACAGUAUAAAGCCUAUACCACCGGCUUUCAUCCUACGUUAUAUACAGUAUAAAGCCUAUACCACCGGCUUUCAGCCUACGUUAUAUACAGUAUAAAGCUAUACCACCGGCUUUCAGCCUACGUUAUAUACAGUAUAAAGCUAUACCACCGGCUUUCAGCCUACGUUAUAUACAGUAUAAAGCUAUACCGCCGGCUUUCAGCCUACGUUAUAUACAGUAUAAAGCUAUACCACCGGCUUUCAUCCUACGUUAUAUACAGUAUAAAGCUAUACCACCGCUUUCAUCCUACGUUAUAUACAGUAUAAAGCCUAUACCACCGGCUUUCAUCCUACGUUAUAUACAGUAUAAAGCCUAUACCACCGGCUUUCAGCCUACGUUAUAUACAGUAUAAAGCUAUACCACCGGCUUUCAGCCUACAUUAUAUACAGUAUAAAGCCUAUACCACCGGCUUUCAUCCUACGUUAUAUACAGUAUAAAGCUAUACCACCGGCUUUCAUCCUACGUUAUAUACAGUAUAAAGCCUAUACCACCGGCUUUCAUCCUACGUUAAAUACAGUAUAAAGCUAUACCACCGGCUUUCAUGCUACGUUAUAUACAGUAUAAAGCUAUACCACCGGCUUUCAUGCUACGUUAUAUACAGUAUAAAGCUAUACCACCGGCUUUCAUCCUACGUUAUAUACAGUAUAAAGCUAUACCACCAUCUUUCAUCCUACGUUAUAUACAGUAUAAAGCUAUACCAUUGGCUUUCAUCCUACAUAAUAUACAGUAUAAAGCUAUACCACCGGCAUACUGAUCCCCUAGGGCACCGUGGUUUAAGAAAGUUUGGAAACCACUGUGGAGACUCCCAUAUGCCCCUUUACUCCAAUGUCCAAAAUAUCAAGGAUCUGUGUCAUGGCCAACUCUUAUACAUUUCAGAGCUAAGGUUUCAAUAGACUGGGCUAAAGAUUUUGCCCAGGCCUGUUCUUCCAAAUUGGCGUUCCACACACACGAGGGUACGUGUCCGCCUCACAUUCUGCGCACAGGGCACCUGCCAAAUCUGUCCAAUAGGUAAGUUUGUUGCGACAUCUUGAGCAUGCAGAAAAUGUCACUGAUGUCACCCCACCAGAACAAGAGACUGAAAGCUACAACGCAGACAAGACCCAACAAGAUAAGAAAAGUAACAGCCAUGGGUCUCUCAGGAUAUGGCAGCAUUAGGCGAGUUUCCUGUUAGAGAAAUAGCAUACUACAGAGGGUAUCCGGUCUCUAGGUCGACCACACUUAAGUCAACAGUCAUUAGGUCGACCACUAUUGGUCAACAUGCAUCAAGUCGACAGGAUUUCUAGGUGGACAUGGUCACUAGGUCGACAUAAGUUUUUCAAUUUUUUUUCAUUUUUUAAACUUUUUCAUACUUUACGAUCCACGUUGACUACAAUUGGGAAUAAUAACCUGUGCAGAGUGCAGCGGUAGCGGAGCGAGGUACCUUGCCCGAAGCAUGGAGAGGGAAUACGGCACACUAAUUGGGGUUCCCAGUCAUGUUACGAAGACGACACCCCCAAAAAAAAAAACCUCAUGUCAACCUUUUGCCAUGUCGACCUUGCUCACGUCGACCUAAUGCUUGUGUCGACAUUUUGGUGGUCGACCUAGACACUGUCGACCUAAGUGUGAUCGACCCUAUAAACCACACCCCUACAGAGGAACUACAUUUUGACAAUGUUAGGCUCCUCCCCCUCCUUGGACCCAGCACUGGCUAGGUUACAGCUGUUGAACUUCCUGUCCUGACCCAGCCAAUGCAUAGAGAAGGAGCUGUGAUGUACAACCAGCUAUGAAAAUGCUAUUUUUUUCUGUGUAUCGCCUUCCCAUGUAUAUUCUGUAUGGAAAUGUAAAUUGUAAAACUAUAUGACAGAUGGCCAGUCUGUAAGUAAUUGGACAGGGUUUACUCUGUUUGUGAAGAGGUCUGUUUACUAUAAACAACAUGGGCUCAUGAUUACAGGCAAAAGACGCUCAAGCUCAAAUACCUGCGUACAACCGAUUAAUUGUGGGUUUGGAAAGGUUAAAAUCCGUAAGGGUGAGUGUGUGUCAUGAGUAGUUGAUUCUGAGAUAAAUACGCCUGUUUAGGAGGAUCCAGCGUGCACUCUUUGGGGACAAGCAACCGUUGAGGAUGCCCCAUACCACCUUUAUCUGUGAAGCCCCCCCAAUGCAACUCCUAGGGUAUUUUCAGUAAGUUCUAGAAUUUCUGAAACUUUAUUCCUUUUAUGUCUCUCUGAAAUCGUAAUCUGUGUGUAUUUUUAAAUAUAAACAUCUACUUUGUAACUAUCUUUUUGUAACUGUAAGCUCUGAAGUUAUUCUUAUUCUUGAAAUUAAAACUUCAUUUCUCUUCACACAUUCUGUGUUCUUAACUUAAAGUGUAUUUACUGGAAGCGUAACCGAAAAAGUCGCUGUGGGAAGAGCCCCAAAGCCUUUGGUGAUGGCAACCGAUAAAUGUUAUUGAUAGUCGUAUAACUGGCAUAACACCAAUGUCACAUCCGCCCAACUCGGAAGGAGGGUGUGUGCGCCUGUGACAACUUUAGGCUCCUCCCCCUCAUUGGAUCCAGCACUGGCUAGGUUACAGCUGUUGAACUUCCUGUCCUGACCCAGCCAAUGCAUAGAGAGGGAGCCAUGUCCCGCAGCCCAUUACCUGGUACCAGAGGCAACACAUAGUAUGUGUGCCAUCUCUAGCGACUGGAGAGAGAGCAGAGGUACUAACUGCCCAAACUCGGCCUGCAUUUCUAUACCCCGUUAUUCAAUUAGAUGUAUGAGAAACAAUGUUUGCGUUUAUUUCCGGGAAUUUACAUUAUAAUCAACAAU